UACGUAGGUGGCAAGCGUUGUCCGGAUUUACUGGGCGUAAAGAGCGCGCAGGCGGUCGUUCAAGUCGCGUGUGAAAGCCCCGGCUCAACUGGGAGGGUCACGCGAUACUGAUCGACUCGAAGGCAGGAGAGGGUAGUGGAAUUCCCGGUGUAGUGGUGAAAUGCGUAGAUAUCGGGAGGAACACCAGUGGCGAAGGCGACUACCUGGCCGUGUUCUUGACGCUG
rnacentral:rRNA from 1 species